rnacentral:lncRNA from 1 species
AAGCUUGGGACGAUCGAUUAUCUAACCUAUGCCAAAAUUUUCAAUCAAAAUUUACAAUAACUAUAAGAAACCAGUCCAAGAAACUUCAAGAAUGCAUUAUAACGUACCUCACUAAGAACUCCACGUUCAUUGUUCGUUAUGCUUCCCGAUGCUUGCUUCAUAAGCCUCACCGGUCUAACAAUAAAACCAAAUGACAAUUCUUGAAAACACUUGCUAGUUAGUGGAUGCAAAAUUGAAAGCGGAGUACCUCACGUCACGGACGGACGAAUUUUCGGUAAACG